GGUGGUGCUGUGCGUGGUGGCCCUGAACACACUGUGCGUGGCCAUGGUGCACCACAACCAGCCGCAGCGGCUCACCACGGCGCUGUGACCAUCCGUGACCACAGCCGACCUGCAAUCCUUCGUCCGUGAGCCUCGGGACAGGUCACAGGGAUCUGAGUAGUGACUUGUCUUGGCCCUGUCUACAGUUCAGCGGAGGCAAAGAGGAAGAUAACCGGGUGGCUGGGGCUUCACCAGGGACUGUCCUUCAUGUCCUAGGACUCUGCGGGUCAUGUGGAACGUACGGUCUUGGUCUGUCAUCGGACCUCACAAAGAGGAUUAAAAACAAAGAAUCCACGAA